AUGCAUAGGAAUCUACCUAGUAGUAUGGGAUAGCCACUGGAAAUGGUGGGUAAUACCGUAUAAUCCCCGCGGGGGAAAGAUUUAUCGCUAUUAGAUGAGCCUAUGUCGGAUUAGCUAGUUGGUGGGGUAAUGGCCUACCAAGGCAGUGAUCUGUAGCUGGUCUGAGAGGAUGAUCAGCCACACUGGAACUGAGACACGGUCCAGACUCCUACGGGAGGCAGCAGUGGGGAAUAUUGGGCAAUGGGCGCAAGCCUGAUCCAGCUAUGCCGCGUGAGUGAGGAAGGCCUUAGGGUUGUAAAACUCUUUCAGUAGGGAAGAUAAUGACGGUACCUAUAAA
rnacentral:rRNA from 1 species